CCCAUCUUAACCCUAGCCUCCUCCCGAUCCCCUCGCUCCCUCCAGUCGAUGCCAUCUCUCCCUUCGUUCUCCUCCUGCGCCGCCACACACCGAUCGCCUGAUCCCCAUCUCCCUCUCGUCUCCACCCUCGCGCUGCCUUCCACAGAGAAAGAGAGAGGAGCAGAGCCCCACGCCCGAUCCCGCUCAUCCUUGCGCCCUCCGGCGAGCUCGCCCGCCCGCGCCUUCUUCCCUUGCUGCAACCGCCGAGACCCCGCCAUCGUCGCGCCCUUCUGCCGCUGCUCUGCUGCCGCUCCUCCUCACCUCGUCUCCCUCGCGUCAGCUGACCAUCAGGGACGCAACACCGACAAGCAGCAGCUGACCAGGACCCGCUGCCCUCCUCUCCUCCCAUCUCUCUCCUUUUCCCUGGCUCACCCUCGUCUCACAUCUCUCUCUCUCUGUCUGAACCAGGACCCCGCGUUGCCUCCGCAUCUUCUGCUGCGAGCUACCUCUUCAUGGAGCUCCACCACCUCCCUGGCCUUGGAUCCGGCUUGUUCCCGCCAACCCAGUUGCCCGUCCCGUGGCCGCACUCUUCAUCUUCGGCGGAUCUCGCACCGGUGCAAGCCCCCUGCCCCAGCUCUGCUUCGUUUGAGUGGGGUGGAGGACGCAUCUCUGCUCGCCCGCAUCGAUCGGCGCCAAGUCCGUGCCGCCGACCUCUGUUUUCCUUCUCGUCGCGUGAGCAUCAGCGCACGCUCUCUUGCCCGCGCGUGAGUGCUCGCGUGGGCCACUUCGACCGUUGACCUCCUGAAGUUCAGGACCAAGACCCAAAGAACCGUGUACGAUUAUGCAACAAACUGUGGAGUUACACGAGCUACAAGUACCGCGAUGACCUCGGAGGCUGGAUUCUGUCAAGUUCCUCUACGAUAUGUGUACCACUACUUCCACAACAUGUCGUGUACGACUACCGUCGUUCAGAUUCGACAAGACAACAUGUACCACUACCGUCGCCAAGUACGACUACCGCAUGGUUACGCCAAGUUCAUCUACGAAACAUGUACAACUACUUCCGCUACGACCCACGAGUACCACUACUUCCCUCGACGAUUUUGAACCGCCCCAAAAUGCAUGCUUCGAAGGUAUAACACUGAGACGACCUUCUGAGAACGAAUGCAUGUUGUAUGAGAUGCUCAUGUUCAAACCGUGUCCAAGUUGAUCCUUGCACGUUCCUCCUCGUUUGCCACCGUCAUGUGGGACACCCGGUAUCCGGGAUCACUCCCCAUCUCUUGCGUGUUCCACACAUCCACACACUUCUCGUUUGCAUUGGUAUCUCACUCAAGUUACCGGGAUCGAAAUGUUGUCGUGGCACCAUUUAUGUUUCACCGCCGUGGACCCCUUUUCCUUCCGCCAUGGCGACAAAUGCCUCGUAUCAUGCUCAUGUCAACAUUUUCAUAAAAAUUGCAUAAACCUUGAUUAUGUCAUCCGCAUCAUGUUAACAACAUUUAAAUGGUUAAAACUGAGUUUGCAUUAAAUUGAUAAAUGACAUGUGGGGAUUUUCCGGAAUUAUCGUUUGUUGUUUCCGGCCUCAUUUAAACUUGC
rnacentral:rRNA from 1 species